rnacentral:rRNA from 1 species
AUACGGAGGAUCCGAGCGUUAUCCGGAUUUAUUGGGUCUAAAGGGAGCGUAGGUGGUCAGUUAAGUCAGUUGUGAAAGUUUGCGGCUCAACCGUGAAAUUGCAGUUGAUACUGGUUGUCUUGAGUGCAGUAGAGGAGGGUGGAAUUCGUGGUGUAGCGGUGAAAUGAUUAGAUAUAAGGAAGAACUCCGAUUGCGAAGGCAGCUCACUGGACUGCAACUGACACUGAUGCUCGAAAGUGUGGGUAUCAAACAGGAUUAGAUUCCCUGGUAGUCCACACAGUAAACGAUGAAUGCUCGCUGUUUGCGAUAUACAGUAAGCGGCCAAGCGAAAGCAUUAAGUAUUCCACCUGGGGAGUACGCCGGCAACGGUGAAACUCAAAUGAAUUGGCGGGG